rnacentral:rRNA from 1 species
UACGGAGGAUGCAAGCGUUAUCCGGAAUCAUUGGGCGUAAAGCGUUCGUAGGUGGCUGUGCAAGUCUGCCGUUAAAGACAGUGGCUUAACCACUGAAAGGCGGUGGAAACUGCACAGCUAGAGUGCGGUAGGGGUAGAGGGAAUUCCCGGUGUAGCGGUGAAAUGCGUAGAUAUCCGGAGGAACACCGGUGGCAAAGGCGGCUUCCUGGACCGACACUGACGCUGAGGCGCGAAAGCUAGGGGAGCAAACGGG